GUGCUCGCUUCGGCGGCACAUGUGCUAAAAUUGGAACGAUACAGAGAAGAUUAGCAUGGCCCCUGCACAAGGAUGACAUGCAU
ensembl:snRNA U6 U6 spliceosomal RNA